GGCACUCAGUCGUUUGAUGGUUCCCGAUGGUGCGCCCGAGGGAUGAAAAGGGAAUACGGUGAGGAUUGCCAACUGGCGCCAAAUCCGUAACUGCCCCCGCAACUGUAAGCGGUGAGCGAGGUCAAACAGCCACUGAUCCUAAGGAUCGGGAAGGUUGGCCAAGCUUAGACCCGCAAGUCAGGAGACCUGCCAUCAGAUGUUCAACCAA
rnacentral:ncRNA from 2 species